UACAGGGGGGGCAAGCGUUGUUCGGAAUUACUGGGCGUAAAGGGCUCGUAGGCGGCCGGCUAAGUCCGACGUGAAAUCCCCAGGCUUAACCUGGGAACUGCGUCGGAUACUGGCGGGCUUGAAUCCGGGAGAGGGAUGCGGAAUUCCAGGUGUAGCGGUGAAAUGCGUAGAUAUCUGGAGGAACACCGGUGGCGAAGGCGGCAUCCUGGACCGGCAUUGACGCUGAAUAGCGAAAGCCAGGGGAGCAAACGGG
rnacentral:rRNA from 1 species